CAGCCAACGUCUACAAAUCUCCUUCCUCGCUCCUCAGUCAAUCGUCACGCCCUACGCUAGGGCGCCAUCGCCGCCGCCGCCAUCUCCACCGCACCACCUCUCGCUUCCAAUGGCGCCGCCGUCGCGCCCUUUGAAUGGAGCUAAAGAGGACAUCACCGGCGACCGAGCCGAGCCUUGCGGGGAUGCUCCUCUGCUCUCUCCCUAACUCGCGGAUGUCCUCUUCAGCUCUUGCUCCGCGGCCACAGUCAAGGGGAAUAGCCAGAGACGAAGUCGACCCCUGCGUGACUGCUCCCUUCCCAAUCCCAGCGACGGCCUCUUUGGCCCCUGCUCCCCCACUUCCUCCUCUUCUCCCCCAGAUGCAGACUCAGGUUGAGGCAUACAUGAUAGGAUGGAAGAGUUGCUGGAGUGGUAGAUCGAAGCAUACAUUUCAUCUGCAAAAAAAUGUUUGAUUCAUGGUGCAAGUUGCUGUUGCUUUAUGGAUUUUGCUCCUUCUUCUACUAUGAAAGUAUGAAUUUUAUCCUGUAGUUUAAUUAUUAUCUGAGAGAGUGUAAGCUGCAGAUAAAUGUUUAAUCUCAAGAGAGAUUCGGAGUAUUUUUA